UACAGAGGUCCCAAGCGUUGUUCGGAUUCAUUGGGCGUAAAGGGUGCGUAGGCGGCGCGGUAAGUCGGGUGUGAAAUCUCGGAGCUUAACUCCGAAACUGCAUUCGAUACUGCCGUGCUUGAGGACUGGAGAGGAGACUGGAAUUUACGGUGUAGCGGUGAAAUGCGUAGAUAUCGUAAGGAAGACCAGUGGCGAAGGCGGGUCUCUGGACAGGUCCUGACGCUGAGGCACGAAGGCCAGGGGAGCAAACGGG
rnacentral:rRNA from 1 species